ACCUCAGAGACCGACUAAGUUUGUUCUUGGUAUAAGCUUUUGUGUGCAUGCGCACGAAAGCUUAUACCAAGAACAAACUUAGUCGGUCUCUAAGGU